rnacentral:rRNA from 2 species
UUCCGGUUGAUCCUGCCGGAGGCUACCGCUAUUGGAGUUCGAUUAAGCCAUGCGAGUCGCGAGAAAUUAGAUUCUCGGCGUACCGCUCAGUAACACGUGGGUAACCUGCCCUAUGCUGGAUAAUAACCUCGGGAAACUGAGAAUAAUGAUCCAUAGUUCACUACGCCUGGAACGGUGAGUGGAUGAAAGCUCCGGCGGCAUAGGAUGGGCCUGCGGCGUAUCAGGUUGUAGGGGGUGUAACGUACCCUCUAGCCCUCUACGCGUACGGGUGUUGGGAGACAUAGCCCGGAGAUGGAUUCUGAGACACGAAUCCAGACCCUACGGGGUGCAGCAGGCGCGAAAACUUGGCAAUGCGAGAAAUCGUGACCAGGGAACUCCAAGUGCAUCGGGUAAGACCGGUGCUUUUCUUGACUCUAAAUAGGUCUUGGAAUAAGGGGUGGGUAAGGACGGUGCCAGCCGCCGCGGUAAUACCGGCGCCUCAAGUGGUAGUCGCUUUUAUUGGGCCUAAAACGUCCGUAGCCGGUCUGAUACAUUCGUGGGUAAAUCAACCAGCUUAACUGGUUGAAUUCUGCGAGGACGGUCAGACUUGGGACCGGGAGAGGUGUGGGGUACGCUCAGGGUAGGGGUAAAAUCCUGUCAUCCUGAGCGGACCACCUGUUGCGAAGGCGCCACACUAGAACGGAUCCGACGGUCAGGGACGAAGCCUAGGGGCACGAACCGGAUUAGAUACCCGGGUAGUCCUAGGUGUAAACGCUGUGGACUUGAUGUUGGGGGUGCUCCGAGCACUCUCAGUGUCGAAGCGAAGGUGAUAAGUCCACUGCCUGGGAAGUACGGUCGCAAGGCUGAAACUUAAAGGAAUUGGCGGGGGAGCACCGCAACCUGAGGAUUGUGCGGUUUAAUUGGAUUCAACGCCGGA